CCGGAAUGCGGACGCUGGCGUGCAGCUCACAAGUACGAGCGGAUGAAGGGAGCUUGCUACUGGAUUCAGCGGCGGACGGGUGAGUAAUGCCUAGGAAUCUGCCUGGUAGUGGGGGAUAACGUCCGGAAACGGGCGCUAAUACCGCAUACGUCCUGAGGGAGAAAGUGGGGGAUCUUCGGACCUCACGCUAUCAGAUGAGCCUAGGUCGGAUUAGCUAGUUGGUGGGGUAAAGGCCUACCAAGGCGACGAUCCGUAACUGGUCUGAGAGGAUGAUCAGUCACACUGGAACUGAGACACGGUCCAGACUCCUACGGGAGGCAGCAGUGGGGAAUAUUGGACAAUGGGCGAAAGCCUGAUCCAGCCAUGCCGCGUGUGUGAAGAAGGUCUUCGGAUUGUAAAGCACUUUAAGUUGGGAGGAAGGGCAGUAAGUUAAUACCUUGCUGUUUUGACGUUACCAACAGAAUAAGCACCGGCUAACUUCGUGCCAGCAGCCGCGGUAAUACGAAGGGUGCAAGCGUUAAUCGGAAUUACUGGGCGUAAAGCGCGCGUAGGUGGUUCAGCAAGUUGGAUGUGAAAUCCCCGGGCUCAACCUGGGAACUGCAUCCAAAACUACUGAGCUAGAGUACGGUAGAGGGUGGUGGAAUUUCCUGUGUAGCGGUGAAAUGCGUAGAUAUAGGAAGGAACACCAGUGGCGAAGGCGACCACCUGGACUGAUACUGACACUGAUGUGCGAAAGCGUGGGGAGCAAACAGGAUUAGAUACCCUGGUAGUCCACGCCGUAAACGAUGUCAACUAGCUCGUUGGGGAUCCUUGAGAUCUUAUUGGCCGCCAUCUAAGCGCUGAUAAGUCGACCGCCUGGGGGAGUACGGCCCGCAGGGUUAAAACUGCAAAUGAAUUUGACGGGGAGUCCCGCAACAGCGGUGGGAGCAUGUUGCUUUCAAUUCAAGUCAACGCUGAAGAAUCCGUUACCUUGGCCUUGACAUGCUGGAGGAGCUUACAGAAAUGACUGGUGUCUAUCGGUAGUCAGACCCAAGAUGCUGCAAUGACUGUACGUCACGUCUGUCUGCAAAGUUAGGGUGAAUACCGUACAGAGAGCAUUCCUGGACCUAGUACAGGCAGAUCGAGGUGUCACUCUUAUGGACCAUAGAUCG
rnacentral:rRNA from 1 species